rnacentral:rRNA from 1 species
UGGGGAAUAUUGGACAAUGGGCGCAAGCCUGAUCCAGCCAUGCCGCGUGUGUGAAGAAGGCCUUAUGGUUGUAAAGCACUUUAAGCGAGGAGGAGGCUACUUUAGUUAAUACCUAGAGAUAGUGGACGUUACUCGCAGAAUAAGCACCGGCUAACUCUGUGCCAGCAGCCGCGGUAAUACAGAGGGUGCAAGCGUUAAUCGGAUUUACUGGGCGUAAAGCGCGCGUAGGCGGCUAAUUAAGUCAAAUGUGAUAUCCCCGAGCUUAACUUGGGAAUUGCAUUCGAUACUGGUUAGCUAGAGUGUGGGAGAGGAUGGUAGAAUUCCAGGUGUAGCGGUGAAAUGCGUAGAGAUCUGGAGGAAUACCGAUGGCGAAGGCAGCCAUCUGGCCUAACACUGACGCUGAGGUGCGAAAGCAUGGGGAGCAAACAGG